rnacentral:rRNA from 1 species
UGGGGAAUAUUGCACAAUGGGCGCAAGCCUGAUGCAGCCAUGCCGCGUGUGUGAAGAAGGCCUUCGGGUUGUAAAGUACUUUCAGCGGGGAGGAAGGGAGUAAAGUUAAUACCUUUGCUCAUUGACGUUACCCGCAGAAGAAGCACCGGCUAACUCCGUGCCAGCAGCCGCGGUAAUAUGGAGGGUGCAAGCGUUAAUCGGAAUUACUGGGCGUAAAGCGCACGCAGGCGGUUUGUUAAGUCAGAUGUGAAAUCCCCGGGCUCAACCUGGGAACUGCAUCUGAUACUGGCAAGCUUGAGUCUCGUAGAGGGGGGUAGAAUUCCAGGUGUAGCGGUGAAAUGCGUAGAGAUCUGGAGGAAUACCGGUGGCGAAGGCGGCCCCCUGGACGAAGACUGACGCUCAGGUGCGAAAGCGUGGGGAGCAAACAGG